GCAACCCGCCUGCAUGAAGCUGGAAUUGCUAGUAAUCGCGGAUCAGCAAGCCGCGGUGAAUACGUUCCCGGGCCUUGUACACACCGCCCGUCACACCAUGAGAGUCGGGAACACCCGAAGUCCGUAGUCUAACCGCAAGGGGGCGCGGCCGAAGGUGGGUCCGGUAAUUGGGGUGAAGUCGUAACAAGGUAUC
rnacentral:rRNA from 1 species